rnacentral:rRNA from 1 species
UACAGAGGUCUCAAGCGUUGUUCGGAUUCAUUGGGCGUAAAGGGUGCGUAGGCGGCGCGGUAAGUCGGGUGUGAAAUCUUGGAGCUUAACUCCGAAACUGCAUUCGAUACUGCCGUGCUUGAGGACUGGAGAGGAGACUGGAAUUUACGGUGUAGCGGUGAAAUGCGUAGAUAUCGAGAGGAACACCUGCGGCGAAGGCGGGUUGCUGGGCCGACACUGACGCUGAUGCGCGAAAGCCAGGGGAGCGAACGGG